rnacentral:lncRNA from 1 species
AUGCGUACCUGGGUGUAUGUACCAGUGACUGUCUCCUCCUCCCACACAGGACCUUGGUGGGUAGCACUGGAAAUGUCCACAGGAUCAGAGGAAAUUAGCAAAGUCGCUUCUAUUCCUCAGCUAGAUCGUCAACCUUCUGACCACUCAGUGCCUGUUACAAAGAGAUGCGUAGGGAGUACCUGGAUGGAAGGAAAGAAGAAAGGAAGGACGGAUGAACUGACAGAUGGGUGGGUGAAUUUCCAUCAUGUCAUCCCCUCCAGACUUCCUGUUCUACUAUAUCUGAAGUCUGUGGAUUCUGAAGUCAGGCUGCCACUUCCUAGCCCUGUCACCUUGAAGCCUUGGUUUUUCUCCUCCGGGAUCCCUUCCCUCUCCUGGGGCUGCUGGGAGGAUUAUACCUCCCAGCAAAAGUACCAAACAUGGUGCCUGGGACACAUUGGUUCCACCUUUCCGCUGGCUGGAGUAUGUCAAAAUUCUUUCCUCUCGCAAGAUGCUUUAUUCUUUAAUCUGGGUAGAUCGUCCCUUUGUCCAGAUAAGGAAAUAAGGUUUUAUGGAGAGGCAGGUACUGGCCUGAGCCAUAACACAGAUGAGCAGCAAGGGAGGAACUACUAUUAGAGUUCACCUUCCCUCUCCCCAGCAGCCCUCUGUCCUGUCCCCUGCUGGCCCUCAGCAUGGGUAGAAUAUCCGCUGUUCCAGGAGAGGUCCACUCCCCCUGGAGCCGAGGACACGGCUCUCCUGUUUGGAGCCACCUGACCCAGCCUGGACAUCUGGCUGGAUGCCACACUGCCCCAGGGAGAGUAUGGGUUCUGGCCAGGCCCCAGGUGCCCCCAGAAAAUGCCAGUAGAUUCUAAAUCCAUCAGAUGCAGCCAACCCAGUGUGGAGCCUAUCUCCGAAACCUCUGAGCAGAGACAGAUGCUAUCAGGCUCCUCCUGGCCCAGCCUGGCCCUAGGCUCCCCUGCUAGACAGGGUGAGGGCCAGGACCUGUUAAUCAUUAAUCUGGGGGCAAAUGGGUAAAUUUCCGGUCCACCAGGUCUACACCCAAGCCCCUCCCUGCAGCCUGGCAGGAAACCCUUAGAGCCUGACCCUUGGCAGGCAGGUCCAGAUGUCAGCUCUCGCAGAGGAGGCCCCACCCUGCCUGGCUUCCAGUAGGAAGGGCGCAAAGGGAAUGGGAGCCAAUGAAUCCCGCAAAUGUUCCCCUCCCCACAGCAGGUGCUGGUGUGAGGGAAAACUCUGCUCACGCCCGUCCUGCGUUUCAGAAAUUGGGACCUCCCUCAUAGCAGCUGGUGGACAGUUGAGAGAACGGGCAGGGAGUGAUGGGAGUUGGGACCAAUGGGGUUGCAUAUCCUUCCAGGUCUGUCUCAGAGGCCAUCCCAAGAAUAAUAGCUAUGAUUAUUAUAUCAUUAGAGCUACAUCUUAUACUUUCUGUUAUAUAAUUUAGAUCAUCUCUAUCAGGUUUUGAGUCCUUAUUACUAAGACCUUUAAAUUGCAGGUACCUGCUGAGUUGGCUGCCCACUGGUUGUUCCUGUCUGCCUGGUUACCCUGUGGCUGACCAUUUGGAACCAUGUGACCUGCUGUUCCAACCUUGUGAUUGGACCAAUGAGGAUCACAUGACUCGAGCUGGGCCAAUCAGUUCUUUCUCUGGGAAUUUGGAAUUUGAAUUAAGUUGCGCAUACAGUUGGUUUUUUUCUUUCUUUCUUUCUUCCUUUUUUUCUUUCUUUGGGUGAUUGGGCUUGUCACUCAGGAGAUAAAAAGAAGAACCUAGUCCAGAGAGAGAGUGAAACAAUGAACCAAACACAUGGAAAGAAGCAGAGGUGAGAGAAGAAGGGAGAAUUUGGGGAGCUUUUCAGCCCCAACCACAGAGUCUUCUUGUGGGCAGCUGUAUUCUUGCCCUCUAUACUCCUGUCUCUAGUACAGUGUUAAGGCUUGAAGUGGUUGUCUAACCAAGGGUGCUCUCACGGAUUAUGACCUCUGGACAGCGGUGAAGGACCAGCACACCCCAUCCUGAACCUGGAAGCCAGGCUCAACAAAUACCCUCUCUCCCAACCAUUCGCCCCUAUUUUUUUUAAUUUCGUGUAAUAGACCCUGUGAUUGAUGGCCCCAGAAAAAGUCCAGUAUAAAGUCGGUUAAUUUUAUUAGCAGUAAUGACACUUAGUAGCGAUUAAUGGUCAGGAAAGGCAGCCAACCGCAUAGAGGCCUCGGGCCACACUGGGCCCUGGUCUGCCCAGGGCUGCUCUCAGAGAAGACUCCCCUGGGACAGCCUGAGGAAUCCCCUCAAGGCCUGCGAAGACAGCUGGGGGAUCUUCCAGGACCCAAUUUCCUUUUUCUUAAUUUCCUAUUGAUUU